UUCGGGAUGCCGGCGAGUGGCGAACGGGUGAGUAAUACGUGGAAACCUAUCCCGAGGUGGGGGAUAACAGCUGGAAACGGCUGCUAAUACCGCAUAAGCCCUAAGGGGGAAAGAUUUAUCGCCUUGGGAGGGGUCCACGUCGGGUUAGCUAGUUGGUAGGGUAAAGGCCUACCAAGGCGACGAUCCGUAGCUGGUCUGAGAGGAUGGACAGCCACACUGGGACUGAGACACGGCCCAGACUCCUACGGGAGGCAGCAGUGGGGAAUAUUGCGCAAUGGGGGAAACCCUGACGCAGCGAUGCCGCGUGGGUGAAGAAGGCCUUCGGGUUGUAAAGCCCUUUCAGUGGGGAAGAUAGUGACGGUACCCACAGAAGAAGCUCCGGCUAACUCCGUGCCAGCAGCCGCGGUAAUACGGAGGGGGCGAGCGUUGUUCGGAAUUACUGGGCGUAAAGGGCGCGUAGGCGGUGCAGCAAG
rnacentral:rRNA from 1 species